rnacentral:lncRNA from 1 species
GUUUAGAGCCAGUAAGUUAAGUCUCUGGGUGACAAGGGUUACUAUAGACAAAUGUCUACGCUUGCUCAUCGGAAAAGUAGAAAAUGUCUGGGAAAGAACUGAGACCACCGCAAGGCCUCCCGUGCUCAGGUUACUUGGAAAUCUCUCUAUGCAGAAGGAAUAUCGUCCCCAUAAAGGGGCAACCUUAAAGGUAGCUGUGGCUCAUCGUACUGGGAUGAUCAACUCUCUGCUGCUAACAUGCUUCGGUUAAGACUCUGGGAUCCCGAUGAUGUAAGAACUCUGCAAUGUCUGGUGGAACACAGGGAAAGAGAUCCAGCCAGAUAGAGCAGUCAAAAGUCUGCGGUUUGGAAGCGACCGGGGGAGUCCCGGAGUCGCGCAGGCUGCUGAAGAGCAUGAGGUCGGUUGGAGGAAAGGCGGAUUUGUGGGAAUGAUGAACGACAGAUACAGAGAAAUCAGCAGGGGUUCCAUGGCGGCGCUUCAGUUUGGAGGCAGGGUCUUGCUCUUUCGCCCAAGAUGGCCUUCAACUCAUGGUCCUUCUGCUUCAGCCAUCCAAAUGCCACGGUUACAGUCUUGAAUCACGAAAGUCUGCCAAAUCUGUAGUGUGGUUUUGUGUGUUUGGGUUGGUUUUGAUUUUCUGAGGCAAGAUUCCCC